rnacentral:rRNA from 1 species
GAUGAACGAGGGCGGAGGGAAGAAUACAGACAAGUCGAGCGACCAGACGAGGAGCUUGCUCCUCUGACGUUAGCGGCGGACGGGUGAGUAACACGUGGAUAACCUACCUAUAAGACUGGGAUAACUUCGGGAAACCGGAGCUAAUACCGGAUAAUAUAUCGAACCGCAUGGUUCAAUAGUGAAAGACGGUUUUGCUGUCACUUAUAGAUGGAUCCGCGCCGCAUUAGCUAGUUGGUAAGGUAACGGCUUACCAAGGCAACGAUGCGUAGCCGACCUGAGAGGGUGAUCGGCCACACUGGAACUGAGACACGGUCCAGACUCCUACGGGAGGCAGCAGUAGGGAAUCUUCCGCAAUGGGCGAAAGCCUGACGGAGCAACGCCGCGUGAGUGAUGAAGGUCUUCGGAUCGUAAAACUGUGUGAUUAGGGAAGAACAAAUGUGUAAGUAACUAUGCACGUCUUGACGGUACCUAAUCAGAAAGCCACGGCUACCUACGUU